UGCGGCGUUUGCAACAACUUCCAUGCUUUCAGACCUCUUCAGUUGUGCGGCAAGGCUUGUAUCGCCUUGAGCGUAUUGUGGGUUUUCUGUGUUGGCUACCUAAUCAAUGGUAUCGGUUGGAUUGAUCAAUGYUUCAUUUCGUCUACCGUCGCAUUCGCGGCGUGAGAUGAACCUUGAUGCGGUCUCUUUGAUCCACCUCGUCGAAGCGCAUGCUUUGGCGUUGUGGCACAUUGAGCAUUGCUUGGUCUCUUGUAUACGGAACAUAUAGUGGGCAUGGAUCUAACGAUUCUCGUUUGCCCUCAUAUUAGCGUAACGCUUCUCUUACACGACUUGCUCCACGUUUUAGCUCGUACGGACGUGGUGCUAUGUCGAAGAGGAAUGCUACCUGGUUGAUCCUGC
rnacentral:misc_RNA from 1 species